rnacentral:rRNA from 1 species
CGGCAUGCUUUACACACGCAAGUCGAACGGCAGCACAGGGAGCUUGCUCCCGGGUGGCGAGUGGCGCACGGGUGAGUAAUACAUCGGAACGUGUCCUGUUGUGGGGGAUAACUGCUCGAAAGGGUGGCUAAUACCGCAUGAGACCUGAGGGUGAAAGCGGGGGAUCGCAAGACCUCGCGCAAUUGGAGCGGCCGAUGCCCGAUUAGCUAGUUGGUGAGGUAAAGGCUCACCAAGGCGACGAUCGGUAGCUGGUCUGAGAGGACGACCAGCCACACUGGGACUGAGACACGGCCCAGACUCCUACGGGAGGCAGCAGUGGGGAAUUUUGGACAAUGGGGGCAACCCUGAUCCAGCCAUGCCGCGUGCAGGAUGAAGGCCUUCGGGUUGUAAACUGCUUUUGUCAGGGACGAAAAGGACCGUGUUAAUACCAUGGUCUGCUGACGGUACCUGAAGAAUAAGCACCGGCUAACUACGUG